rnacentral:rRNA from 1 species
GACGAACCGUGCGAACGUUAUCCGGAAUCACUGGGCUUAAAGCGCGUGUAGGCGGGCGGGUACGUCGGCCACUGAAAGCCCCCGGCUCAACCGGGGAAGCGGCGCCGAUACGGCCGGCCUGGAGGGGGGUAGGGGGACCUGGAACUUCCGGUGGAGCGGUGAAAUGCGUUGAGAUCGGAAGGAACGCCCGUGGCGAAAGCGAGGUCCUGGACCCUUUCUGACGCUGAGACGCGAAAGCCAGGGGAGCGAACGGG